rnacentral:lncRNA from 1 species
CACAGCACGACCUUGUGCCCCAGCGCUUGCUGCCACAGCCUCUUUCUCAUAAGCUACCUUGCAGCAGGAGUGGAGAGGAGCCAUGAAACUGUGAUGCUGGCAAGUCAUAGUGAAAUGUAAUGAGAGGUCACUAGGGGAUUCUAAGAACACAAACUAUCCAAAAAAAUCAAUCGACUUUUCUGAUGAUAUUGAGGAUGGAUAGAAAUGCAGAGAGAAAUAAGAAGAGAACACACCGAUGUAUGCCGUUAUUGUCGGCUGCAAACUUACGGCUCCCUGACUCACUCCUCUCAAUUGACUGCUUAUCAGAGUACAUGUGGGUGUGGACAUGUGAUCAUUUGUACUAUGACUGGAAGUAGAAUAUGAAUCAGUCCGGUAAGGUAAUGCUCUUUCACGUCAUUGGCGGUUCCCCACUAUAAGUUGGAAACAAUCCAACACUGGAUUUCAGCACAACUCUGGGAUAUUUACUAUGGAGGACAUCUACACUGUACUGUGUGUGUUUCUGACAUCUUCCAGUCCAGAAGAACAAUGGGAAAAUUUAAGUUCCUCUUUACUUUGGGUAGGAUAACUGGUUGUUACUUCAAACAAGAUUCUGUGACUUGAUUACAGGGCUCUUUACCCCAAAUUGUGGAUUGAACCUGGGUCUUGAAUGCAAAAUGCAUUCAAGAAAGAAUUUCAAACUUCC